UGAUAUCAUUUGCCUACAAGAAGUUGAUGAGAAGGUGUUUACGAAAUUCUUGCUGCCAGCCCUUGAAUUGAAUGGUUUCUCUGGAGUGUACAAGAUGAAGUCAGGAAAAGUUAAGGAGGGAGAGGCUCUGUUUUACAGGACAUCCAAGUUUAAGUCAGUGGUUCUUUCUUGAACUCUCUAGUACAGCUGAAAUCUGAUAAAAAUAAAUUCACAAAGAUUGGUUUGAUUACUGUAUUGUUGAACACAUUUAUUUCUCAUUUUAUGACAGCAUAAGAAAUGAAGGGGAUUCAGUGUUAAGAAUAAAGUAACUUUAGAGGCUGUAAAAUGUGGCAUCUGUGAUUGAAUAUACUAGUAGUUACAUGUACCAGGGAUCUGAUUAUUUGAUUAUAAAUUGAGAUUUGGUGUGAAAUUUUAUUGGAAGAAAAACUUUUUUUAACUAGAAAAUUCCUGUAUGAAAAGGAUUCUGUCAUCAAAAUUCAUCUGAUAUAAAUGUUGAUGAUUUAUUUGUAAACAUGGAUUAACCCUUCCAGGACGAUCAGUGAACACAACAUUGACUUAACAGACACUCUGGAGGAGGAUGGUUGUAGAGAUAUCAAGGAGAAAGUGGUCAAAUAUCAGGACGUCUACGAGUUUUACAAAAAAAGAAAGAAUAUCCUACAAGUAUGUGUGCUGGAAUCCCUGGCUGACCCCCAGAAGAAGCUGUGUGUGGCCAACACCCACCUGUUCUUCCACAGGGACUACAGCUACAUCCGGGUUCUACAGGGGGUGGUCAGCAUGAGACACCUAGAGAUGGUGAUGAACAGUUACAAGGAAAAGGGAGACAGCAUUUCCUUGGUCUUCUGUGGGGAUUUCAAUGCAAGCCCUGAGAGUGCUCUACAUGGAUUCCUGACCAAAAGUCAAAUUAUUCCAGGGGAAUACAAACUCAGAGUUAAAGACACUGGAGAGGAAGUGACCAGCUUUGAUUUCACUCACAGUUUUAAUCUGUCCAGUGCCUGUGGUCAUCCCGAGUACACAAACUAUGUGGGGGCAUUCCAGGGACACCUGGACUACGUGUUUGUGGACCAGACCCUGGAGGUAGUCAGUGUGGUUCCCACCCCGGACCAUGAACUGGUGACCCAGCAUAGAGCCCUGCCCAGUGUUGUGUUCCCCUCAGACCAUAUAGCUCAGAUUUGUGUAAUGAAAUGGAAGUAAACGAGGACAAAAUUGUCUAUUUCAUGAAUAAAUUAUUUCUUAAAGCCUGAUCUUUUAUAAUUAGGAUAUAAAAAUAUUUUGAAACAUUU
rnacentral:misc_RNA from 1 species